rnacentral:rRNA from 1 species
GACGAACGCUGGCGGCGUGCUUAACACAUGCAAGUCGAACGGAAAGGCCCUGCUUUUGUGGGGUGCUCGAGUGGCGAACGGGUGAGUAACACGUGAGUAACCUGCCCUUGACUUUGGGAUAACUUCAGGAAACUGGGGCUAAUACCGGAUAGGAGCUCCUGCUGCAUGGUGGGGGUUGGAAAGUUUCUGCGGUUGGGGAUGGACUCGCGGCUUAUCAGCUUGUUGGUGGGGUAGUGGCUUACCAAGGCUUUGACGGGUAGCCGGCCUGAGAGGGUGACCGGCCACAUUGGGCCUGAGAUACGGCCCAGACUCCUACGGGAGGCAGCAGUGGGGAAUAUUGCACAAUGGGCGGAAGCCUGAUGCAGCAACGCCGCGUGCGGGAUGACGGCCUGCGGGUUGUAAACCGCUUUCGCCUGUGACGAAGCGUGAGUGACGGUAAUGGGUAAAGAAGCACCGGCUAACUACGUG